CUACGGGGGGCUACAGUGAGGAAUAUUGCACAAUGGAGGAAACUCUGAUGCAGCAACGCCGCGUGGAGGAUGACGCAUUUCGGUGUGUAAACUCCUUUUAUAUGUCAAGAAAAUGACGGUAGCAUAUGAAUAAGCUCCGGCUAACUCCGUGCCAGCGAGCCGCGGUAAUACGGAGGGAGCAAGCGUUACUCGGAAUCACUGGGCGUAAAGGACGCGUAGGCGGGAUAGAAAGUCAGGUGUGAAAUCCUAUGGCUCAACCAUAGAACUGCACUUGAAACUUCUAACCUAGAGUAUGGGAGGGGAAGAUGGAAUUAGUGGUGUAGGGGUAAAACCCGUAGAUAUCACUAGGAAUACCAAAAGCGAGGGCGAUCUUCUGGAACAAUACUGACGCUAAGGCGUGAAAGCGUGGGGAGCAAACAGGAUUAGAUACCCGCGUAGUC
rnacentral:rRNA from 1 species